rnacentral:rRNA from 1 species
GUCAAGUCAUCAUGGCCCUUACGGCCAGGGCUACACACGUACUACAAUGGGAAGGACAGAGGGCUGCGAACCCGCGAGGGGGAGCCAAUCCCAGAAACCUUCUCUCAGUCCGGAUUGGAGUCUGCAACUCGACUCCAUGAAGUCGGAAUCGCUAGUAAUCGCAGAUCAGCAUUGCUGCGGUGAAUACGUUCCCGGGCCUU